rnacentral:tRNA from 1 species
AAAAACUUAGGAUAACAAGACCCAGAGCCUUCAAAGCCCCUAGCAGAAGUUAAAACCUUCUAGUUUUU